rnacentral:rRNA from 1 species
UUACUUCAUCUAACGAUGCCAACUAGCAAUCCGCCUGAGUUGUAUUUUUGACUCGGCGGGCAGCUCCGGGAAACCUAAGUACGGUUCCGGGGGAAGUAUGGUUGCAAAGCUGAAACUUAAAGGAAUUGACGGAAGGGCACCACCAGGAGUGGAGCCUGCGGCUUAAUUUGACUCAACACGGGAAAACUUACCCGGCCCGGACACUGAAAGGAUUGACAGAUUGAUAGCUCUUUCUUGAUUCGGUGGAUGGUGGUGCAUGGCCGUUCUUAGUUGGUGGAGCGAUCUGUCUGGUUAAUUCCGAUAACGAACGAGACUCUAGCCUAUUAAAUAGCCGUAAUGUUCGCAGCGCAUUACGGGUUCCUUCUUAAAGGGACAAGGUGCUUUCAGCACCACGAAACAGAGCGAUAACAGGUCUGUGAUGCCCUUAGAUGUCCGGGGCCGCACGCGCGCUACAAUGAAGAAACGAGCGUGUAGUUUUCCUUGUUUGAAAAAACUGGGUAACCCCUUCAAUCUUCUUCAUGAUUGGGAUUGGGGCUUGCAAUUGUUCCCCUUGAACGAGGAAUUCCCAGUAAACGCUAGUCAUCAGCUAGUGUUGAUUACGUCCCUGCCCUUUGUACACACCGCCCGUCGCUACUACCGAUUGAAUGAUUUAGUGAGGUCUUCUGAUUGAGCUCUCAUGUGGUCUUUGAUUGCAAGAAAGUUCGAAAAGAUGCCCUAACUUGAUCAUUUAGAGGAAGUAAAAGUCGUAACAAGGUUUCCGUAGUGAACCUGCGGAAGGAUC